rnacentral:rRNA from 1 species
UACGUAGGGCGCAAGCGUUGUCCGGAAUUAUUGGGCGUAAAGAGCUCAUAGGCGGCUUGUCACGUCGGGUGUGAAAGCCCGGGGCUUAACCCCGGGUCUGCAUUCGAUACGGGCUGGCUGGAGUUCGGUAGGGGAGAUCGGAAUUCCUGGUGUAGCGGUGAAAUGCGCAGAUAUCAGGAGGAACACCGGUGGCGAAGGCGGAUCUCUGGGCCGAUACUGACGCUGAGGAGCGAAAGCGUGGGGAGCGAACAGG